GACCCGCCUGCACAAAGCCGCGUCCUCGCGUCCCCGCGUCCCCGCCGCCGCCUCGGGCCGCCGCGCGCGGCCCCUCCUCCUCUCCUCCCGCCGCCGCCUCGGCCGCUUCUUCCGCUUUUUUUUUUUUUUAAUUUAGAUGUGAUGUUUGUUUCGAGCUCUCGCCUUGCGCACGGUUAAAGUCGCGGCGGCAGAAUUAUCGGAAGAUUCCUGCAGGGGAAAGAAGAGAGAGACGAGUCAGCUCCGGCGCCGGCGGAGCCCCGGCUCUCGGCACCUGGGGAAGGAAAACACGCCCCAACACACGCGCCUCUGCGGGCGCCAAAAAUAACCCGCGCGGGCCGGGCGCCCACCCCGGGGCAACCCGCGCCCACCUCAGGGGCCCCAGGCACCCACCCCGAGGAUCUCACUUGCAGCGCUACAGCCAGUCCCUCUUCUGGUUCUCACGCACCCACUUAAGGCGGAGUGACUGGCCUAAAAGUCCAAGCUGAUCGUGUGGCUUCCGUUCGUAAAUAUCUCCCCUGGAUCUCCCUCCCUGGAGCCAGACAAGACUCAAAACUCCGAAGGGAAUGCAGUCCCCGCAGGGCGCAAAGGAGAAACUAAUAGUCCAGAGGCGGGGUGAACUUAAAGACCUGGCUUUCAUUAGCGUGGUGUUGUAACAGACUGCCAAGGAGCCUCUGAGGAAAUGGAUUUACGUACAUAUACAUACUCGCCCUUGCCCCUGAAGCAACAUCAAAUACUUUCAUGUUAUUCUUGGGGGCGUUUUAAUUCUUCCGAUCCUCUGAAUUCGUGUUUUUGUACAUCUCUUUCCAACCUGGGCCUACACACUAACAGAAAUAGUUUUUUACAUCGAAGGACAAUGCUUAGUGUUUUAUUCAGUCUCAGCUCUUUUCUUUCUUUUUUCUCGUUGUGUUUCAAAAUGUUUAUUUUUUCUGUCUUGUGAUAGUUUUGGAGGAAAAAUAUUGAAAUAAUUCAAAUCAGGCUCUUAACUCUGCUUUAUUAAAUUUAUAGUCAUAGUAGCCUGUGAGUAUGCUUCGGGGGAGGAAAAAAGAAUGCUGGGGUCUUUAUUCUUCAAGUUCUCUAAGUUUGAUAUUUUGAAUAAACACCCAGAGGUGUCUCUGCCUUUUGUGUGUUAGUAUCUAAUCUUUCCUGCAUUUACGAGUCACUAGUAAAAUGCUAUGAAAGCCAUAGAUCCCAUGGCUCUCACUGUGAUUUUCCUGGGCUGAGUAGGGACUUAGUGAUGUUUAACCCCCAGUAUGCUUUUUAUAGAAGCACCAGCUGAUUCACCAGUGCCCUCCAAAGUGAGCACCUAUCCAUCUCACUCUGGACUCCCAACAGGUCAUACCAGGGAGCUUCGUUGAAAUAGACUUGGCAUUUAAAUUAAAAUGUUUCCCAAAGCAUCUUGGCAGACCUGUAACUAAUGAUGCCAGAGGCCCAAGGCCUGUGCCAGGUUCCCUUUUAUUCCCAUAAGUGCUUGUCUCCCACAAGCCACUGGUCACACGCCUGCUGAUGUUAUAGAAGCACUUCUUCAUCCCACAAACAGCCCAACUGUAGGUACCCUAUCUCAGACAUGGUGAAGGGAAGCAGCAUGUUCCUCUGACAUGUGCGAUGCUUGGCUCCCAACAGGCUUUUUAUAAUAAGCUAAACUCAGAUUUUUUCAUCACAAAUAGCGU
rnacentral:lncRNA from 1 species